rnacentral:tRNA from 1 species
GGUACCGUGGAGUAGCGAUUAGCACUCAGGACUCUGAACCCUGCCAUGGGAGUUCGAAUCUCCUUGAGACCU